UAUUGUACAUAAGAGAAUUCAUACUGGAGAGAAACCCUACAAGUGUGAAAAGUGUGGCAAAGCCUUCACCCAGUUCUCACACCUGACUGUACAUGAAAGCAUUCAUACUUGAGAAAAAAAAUAAAUAUAAAAAUAGGCAUAGCCUUUAGUAUCUGCUCGCAUCCUACUUUACAUCAGUUUGGAUGUAACAAAGUUAUUAUAAAUUUAAUUACUAUUGAAAGACCUUUCAUGAAAUAUAAGUCUCCAGAGCACACAAGAGUAUUUCUUCUGAAAAAAAAUGUUACAAUUAUAUUUUAUACUAGAUGGAAGACUUGCAACAGUUGCUUAAACUUCCAGAGAAUUUGUAGAGAAACCCAACAAAUAUCAUAACUGUGGAAUAACAUUUGUUCAAAAAUGAUAGCUUAGAAAACAUCAGAGUUCAUACUAAAAGAUAUUUUGCAAAUACAGUAAAUGGGAAAAAUAAGCAAAAUUCAAUUUAAGUAAACAUUGGAGGAUUUGAAGAAGAGAGGAAUAGAGCACGGACACGUUCGGAAAUGACAGUGAAUCCGUGUGUUGAGUCUACAGAGACAUCUCGACUUGAAAUAGAUCGUUCAUUCUUAUUUAAGUUUAAAAGGAGGAUGAGACUGAGUUUUUGUAGAGUUAUAAUUACAUUCAAAAUACACUUUUUUGCAUUGAAAAAUGUUAAAUUUUUGAAAAGCGAAUAUUGAUGUCUUUUAAUCCUCGAAUCAGUUCAUGCUGUGUCUUCAUUUCUAGUGCUGAUGUGAAAACACAUGGUCAGUUGUUGCUGCAUCAGAGAUGUGAGAAAUUCUCUUCUAUUAGGUGUGCAUCACUGAUAUACUUGUCCAUGAAAGGUGAAAGACACUGAAAUGUAAGAUGCGUGAGUAAAAUCUUGGUAGAGAGGCUCUUUGUGGUUGUUUUAUAUACUUGUAAGUGAUUUAUGAGCUAGGUGUUUAGAAUAAUACUCUUCUGUUAGGGUCACCCUGACCAGAGCAUUCCCUUCCCCUCCCACAGGCCUUACAAUACAGUCCCUUGCGCUCUCCACACAGCUACCCCAGGGCAAAAGACAAACCCGCCCUUCACUGUCCCCUCCAGUAACUGUUUGUCCAGAUAGUUACAGAAUGCAGUUAACAUGUCUGUUCACUUCACAUAACAAAGCUGGCAAAAAACAUCUCCAGGAUGCGGACAAGAUACCUACACCCCCAACUCAGCUCCCCCACCCCAACCUAGUUCUCCUGCACCCCCAGCUCAGCUCCCCCACCCCGACCCAGUUCUCCUGCACCACCAACUCAGCUCCCCAGCCCCGACCUGGUUCUGGCCCUAUAAAACCCUGCUAUAGUCUGUAAGUGGAGUUGCCUCCUCUAACUGACAGAGCAGCCAAGCAGCUCAGUGAAGCUUGCUUGCCUGACUUUGGGUCUCCUCAUCCUUUCUCUCAGCUGACCUUAGAUCUCUGGUGCCAAAACCCAGGAUGAUGGUAGAGUUUGGCCUCCCUUUCUCCCUUUCUCCUUCCCUCCCUCCUUCCCCCAGCUAAACUCCCCCUUCCAGAACCUGCUGGAGACCCAAGGAUCUUUCCAUUGCUGGCGAACACAUCGAACACCAAGGCCACCUCAGGGGUGAGUAAAGGAGACUUUUGCCUUAUUUCUGGAACCCUUGUCUAUUCUUUCCUUCCCAAAAGACCCAGCGCUGGGCCAAGGGUUUCCUCCUCCUCCCGGCCUCCAGGAGGCCCUCGAUAUCUCCCUAUCAGGGGUGGCUGAACCGGGGAUUAUCACACUUCUCCAACUUGAACCAUGGGACAAGGGAUGCCUUCUCCCACCAUUCUAGUCUCUGGUCAAGUCUCCCAUCUCUACCCCUCCCUUUCCCAUUCCACUGUGGGAGCCUCCCAAUCCACUCCCUCAAAGACAUCCGCCGCUUGGGUGUCUCCUCCGUAACCUUAACGCCCUUAGCCUCCAUUCCGAAAUUCAGCCAAAAAUAACUCAUCUUUUAUUGGAACACUGCCUGGCCACAAUGUAAAGUAAACAAUGGCUCCCAGUGUCCUGAAAACAGCACUUUCAAUUUCAACAUUCUCAGGUACCGAGACAACUUCUGCCAUUGCAAUCAAAGUGGUCAGAGAUCCCUUAUGUUCGGGCUUUCGUUUGCCCUCCGUAGCUGUCCCUCCCUCUGUCAGUCCUGCUCUACUUUCCAAAUCCUCCUCACCUGCUCCACACCUGACCCAUUCUCAGACCCCCCACACGCGUCACCACUCCUCCCAAUGAUUCUUCCUCCUUUGACCCUGCCGACUUUUCACCAACAGCACCAUAAUCCUCCCCCAAAUCAUCACAGUCCUCCACCAUAGACUCCCGCUGCUGUCUUCUUUCUCUUCCUCUCUCCAACCACCCAGCUUCUGAUUCCGAUUCCUCCCCAUCUCCACCUCAUACCCACUCUCAGACUCAGCAUGCCCAACAGUCGGCCCCCUUACUUCCCCUCUGAGAGGUGGCUAAAGGAGUCAUUCGCGUCCACAUUCUCUUCUCCCUCUCUAACCUUUCCCAAAUUAAGAAACGUCUCAGGUCAUUUUCCUCCAAUCCUGACACUUAUAUCAGAUAGCUCACUUGGCAUGAUCUCUAUAUUAUCCUCUCUUUUACUCUCCUGGAAAAAAAAAAAAGGAAGAGUGGCUUGCAGCUCAGGCGCAUGCCAGUGAUCUUCAUCGGCAAGAGCCUACUAAGCCCAUAGGGGCCGCUGCAGUUCCCUGGGAAAAACCCUCCUGGGAGUACCAGCCCACAGAACCUGGCCAGGCAUCUCGUGAUCACAUGAUCACUUGCCUUAUCAGAGGCCUUAACAAAGCGGCCGUAAGGCCGUAACUUUGAAAAACUCAAAAAAAUCUCCCAAAGGGCCGACAAAAAUCCCACUAAUUUCUUUCCUGCCUUACAGAGACCUUCCAAAAAUACACCCACGUUAACCCCACCUCCCGGGAAGGAACUAUUAUUCUUAAUAUCCAUUUCAUCUCUCAGUCUGCUCCUGACAUACGGCACAUGCUCAAAAAAGGUAGAAGACGGCCCUGAAACCCCUUAACCUGGCCUUUAAGGUCUUCAACAACAGAGAUGAGCAAAAUAAGAUAAAGCCCAAUGAGAUCAUGCCAAAUACCAGCUCCUAGCAGCAGCUAUUCAUCAGCCUGCUCAGGCUACCUGGGGCACAAAAGACCCCAUAGCAGUGACCCUCCCGGGCCCUGUUUUAAGUGCUGCAAACAAGGCUGUUGGGCCCAAACAUGCCCUAACCCGUGAAUGCCAAAAACUCCUUGCCUAGCUUGCCAACGAACUGGUCACUAGAAGUCUGAUUGUCCUCAACAAGCAGACUAACAGGCCGGUUCCUCAAGGCCCUGGCAAAGCAAAGAGUGAAGAGUCGCUCACUCCCACAGCUCCUUGGCUUGGCCACUGAAGAUUGACAGAGCCCAGGGCCCCCGGCCCCAUCUGCCAUCACUGCAUUGGAGCCCAGGGUAACUCUGCUAAUAGCAGAUGGAGGCUACUCAGUGACAAUGCCUCCCUCCCAGGAGCCCAGGCUGCGCUCAUCUCCACCGUGAGGCUGAAGACAAAAGUGCCGCAGAGCUCAGAGGCUGCUUUCUACAGAGGUUUGAUUUGCACAAAACUGAGUCUUGUGUGGACGUAUUUUUGCAUAUAUAUCAAAGAAUGUAAUACAAAUUUUUAAAUAUAUAAAAGAAGACCUUGGCUUCCCAACCAUUUUUUUUGACUUACGGCGAUCUUUAAAUGGCAGAGACUCAUUCAUUCAUAAUCCAAGAGAGAAGUGUGAUUCACAGGGAUUCUUUUAUCGUGUGAUACAUGAUAAAUAUAUCCAAUGUUUAUGUCAAUUUAAAAAGUCCUCAGUGUUCUGCCGGACCGUUUUCAUCCCGGCCUGACUUUCCUGCAAUUCCCUGGAUGCUUGUUAUUGUUUCCCUGGGAAUUUGUUCACUUGGCAUUUUCUUCUGGAAAACUAGCCUUGGUGUGAGUAUACUGACUUCCUGUAGAGGUAUACUUGUAAUCAUAAAUAAGAAGAAAUUAUUUAGAACAAUUCAUGGUUCUGGACUUCAUUAGGAAUAUUGGGUUUUACCAAAAAAAAAAAUCAGGGAAGUGAUAUAUUAGCAUAAGAAUUAUGAAAAUAUCUACCAUUUACAUUAUGAAAAUUAAAUAGGUUGGUGUUUGUCUCAUAGAAUGUCAACAGAGCUUUUGGGCGAAAAUCCUUUUUUUGCCUUUGUACUCUUUAUCAGAAAUGGAUAAAAGGUAAAUGCUGGAGUCAUUUUCACUCUGCCUAUUUCAGGACACUUUCGUCUUUUCCCACAGCGCCCUCUCCUGGCCGGGCCUCUGCUCUGUGGGUUCUGGGGUGCCUUUUCUGGGUGGAGUUUUUCAAAAGCAAAAUAUUCCCCAUGAGCUUCGAGACUUCUCCGUUCCCAGCUGGUCAUCUUCGGUGGCACCUGCAGAAGCCAUAAAUGCUCAGGGGCCAAGGGCUGAAGGGUGUUCACUGUUCUGUUUGCAGAAAUAACAUGAGGAGAUGCCACUGAGCUCCACUGCUGUGGGUCUCAUGGCCCAGGGGACCCUGACUGACCCAUUUUACUCCAAAUAUGCUGGGGUCCCCUUUCCAAAAUACGUAAGGUGUUCUUUUUUGCGUGACUUUAUUUCUCUUCUGCCAUAAGGUAGGUGAUUAACCUUUAGAAUAUCUGCUGUAAUCUCCGAAGUGAAAAGACUGAAAACUCAUUAAUCCAACAUAAGUAUGUGCAAUUUUGAAAACUCUUUGACAAAGUCAAUUCCAUAAUUCAUCAUAGUCCCAGCUCUGUUGGUAACUGUGUUGUGCAAAAUCACCCCACCCCCACCCAGUGGUGCCCUUGAUCUCAUAUUCUGGGUUUCAGAGUUUCCAUAUUUGCAACAGAAAAUGUGCCCUGGCUGUGAGGUAGUGAAGAGUGAAUGCCAUUCAUUACCUACAAGGACAAUUCCCAGUGAAGACCUUCAGUGAUGCUCAGGGAAGCUGGUCCUCAUGUGGCCUCUGUAGUCUCGACAGCUGCUGCGUCCUCUGAUGACACGUGAUGGGACUUGUACACUUGAAAUCAAACACAUUUUUAAAACUUCUGUUGUUUAGAAUUCCUCCCUCAUUUUUCCGUGGACAACCUUAUUUUUUAUGUCAUACUGCACUGAAAAUUUGGUAUUACCUGGGAGUUAAAAGCAACAUGAUAGCUGUGCCCCGGAUGUGUAAAGGCUUUGGAUCAGGGUGAGUAAAUGCCUCGAGGUCUGGGAAAUUUCACUUGGUUGUCAGGGAGCCCUGUCUCCCUGAGUUUUUAGGGCCCAAGGAGACUAACAAUGAGGAUGGGUUGGGUUCGGUGGAGCUGUGGCCUUGGCCUUCAGAAUGAGACCACCUCUAGUGGGGAAAUCAAGGCCCAUCCUGAGCUGCUCUGGCAUCAUCUCAUCCUCAGCACUCUCUCCUUCCCACCCGCAACUCCCAGCUUUGCAUCUCCCAAGCUUGGUGUGCAAACUCCUCCCUUUCCCUGUGUCCCUGCUGCCUGAGCCUAGACACCAACUCUCAGUGGGGCUCAGAGCCCCAGCUUCCUUAUAAAUGAGCCAGGAAUGAUGUGGUUAUGAGGUCAUUGUGAGGACUAAGAGAUCAAGCCUAUAAAGAAUCUUGCAAAAUAGCUGGUGGGUGUUAGACCCUCACCCCUCUCACUGGUUAAAUGAAAAUAUUCCCACUCAGAAGAUCAGCAAAAGAUAUUCACCAAAGUUCAUUAAAUAAACCUUAGGGUGUAACAGCUCAGGCCCGGGAUUUCCAAUCUCUGUUACAAAAGAUAAGGGAAAGCGCCUGUCUCCAAGAUGAAAACUCAGAUCCUUACGAGAUGAGGACAUGGUAGGAAUGCAUACGCAGUUCCCCUCUGAGAUCUAUGUCUGUGAUCUGUAGAUAAUAUUCUGCACGACAUACAGACACAGAUGCAGCCACCCACUGAUCCAUUCAGCAGGGGCACAGAUAUUUUAUAGAAGACAAAAUGUGUAUUGGGCAAAAGAAGAUCACAUGGAAUAAACCAAAUCCUGUUACCUACAGGACAAUUGGAAGACUCUCCUGAGCCGUGAUAUCUUGGAAGAGUAUCCAACAUGUUUUAUGCUCCGUGCCUGGUGCUGCCUCCUCUCCCUCUCAUUUCCAUAGUGUUUCCUUAAUAAACAUUCGCAGUCC